GCAUAUACUCAUUUUUGUUAUUCGUUAUUUGCACCUAUUUUCGCUUUCUCAAGUUUCUUAUCAGCAAAACGCUUGCAGAUUUACAGUUAAAUCUCUUCUUUUUGUAGUUUUGUUAUACAUACAUCACAUUAAGACGUGCUUCUUACAAAUCAAAGCAGAUCUCUUAAAUCUAAUAGACAGUGUCUACCGCGUGCUUAAAAAUGAAAAAACUAUCGCUAGAAGUUGAAAAUAAUAUUGUGGGCCUUACUGAUAAUGGCUGUUCAACACGUAAUAUUGCUGAAAAGCUUGGCAUUAGUCAAUCGGUGGUGAUCAGAGUACAAAAAAGACGAAAUGCUGUCCCCAAACCCCAAGGUCAAGGCCGCCCUAAGAAGUUAACGGACUCAGACGCUAGACUUAUGAUGUCGGAAAUGAGGAAAAAUAAGAUGCUAACACCAAAGAAUGCUUCUAUGGCCAUAAAUAAAAAUGUAAGUCGCUGGACAGCUAGAAGAGCCCUUCACAUCAUUGGGUACAAAGCAGCCGUUAAGAAGAAUAAACCUGCGUUGUCGGAAAAAAAUGUUAAAGCAAGGUUGAAAUUCGCAAGGGAUCAUACAAAUUGCACCACGGAUGAUUGGAAAAGUGUUAUCUGGUCUGAUGAAUCCAAAUGUAAAGCAAUUAAACGUUUGGCUUCGUGCCUGUUGUCUACGAACACACACAAAGUUUUACAAAGAAAAAAACCAGACAAUUUAUUUGUUGCUUUAUCGUUCUUUCUACGAGAAAAUCAAAUGGAGGUUGAGAUCGAGCGGAGCUGACACAGUAAAAAUGACGAGACCUGCUUUGUUCAGUCCGUUUCGGGGCGAGCGAUUCGAAGAUUUGAGAAAGCUGAAUCGCAGAUUCUAACGGACCGAAUCCCACCGAAUAGAUUCAGUUUUCAGUUCAUGCAGGGCUCUAAUGUGCAUGUCCUUACCCCGAUAUUUAUGUUAAAAAACUUUUUUCAGAUCUUGUAUGUAUUUUCAAAUAAGAAUAUUCAUUAAAAUACAAUUUUGAGCUCCAAAUUAAAAAAUAUGUAUGAAAGUAGCUAAAAUAUUUGUAUUCGCAAUGUUAUAAACUUUAAAAAAUUGUAAUGAUAUACAAAAAAACUAGUUUGUAGUGUUUUUGUGCUCUGCCAACUGCACAAUAGUCUCAAAAUCGAUAAAGUCAAAAAAUGUUUGAUUUUGGGCUUUGGAAAAAUAACGCAAUAUUCGGAAAGUUGAUACCCCUAAUAGUAGUAAACUUUUUUUGAGCCCUAUGGCAACCCUGCACUGGUGGCUGGUCGAUUACAGCCCCGAAAUGUGUGAAAGAGCGGGAAUAUCCUGCUAGUCUUCGCCUUAUUAUUAUUCAGAAAUUGUUAAUGGAAAAUAAAUGUAUAAUAUGGAUAAUAAACGUCAAGGUAUUUAUAACUGA